GCCAGGGGUUGUUCGACACUUCGGUGGGGGGAGUGUUACACGGAGGGGGAGCCAAGUCAGGGCAAGCAUUGUUGCUGAAUAUUUCAGCUGAAUGAUCACACAAACUGUGGACGAGAACAACGGCAGACCUCUCAGCCCCCUUCCCCUUCCCAGUCCCCCUCCCCUUCUCACUCCCCCUCCCCUUCUCACUCCCCCUCCCCUUCGCAGUCCUCCUCAGCUUCCCAGUCCCCCUCAGCUACCCAGUCCCCCUCAGCUUCCCAGUCCCCCUCAGCUUCCCAGUCCCCCUCAGCUUCC